GGUCUGUUAGCUCAGCGGGAGAGCACUUCGUUGACAUCGAAGGGGUCACUGGUUCGAUCCCAGUACAGACCA
rnacentral:tRNA from 5 species